rnacentral:rRNA from 1 species
CCCCUAGAUGUUCUGGGCCGCACGCGCGCUACACUGAACAGUUCAACAAGUCUUAACCUUGGCCGAUAGGUCUGGGUAAUCUUUGAACGCUGUUCGUGAUUGGGAUAGACCUUUGCAAUUAUGGGUCUUCAACGAGGAAUUCCUAGUAAACGCAAGUCAUCAGCUUGCAUUGAUUACGUCCCUGCCCUUUGUACACGCCGCCCGUCGCACCUACCGAUUGAAUGGUCCGGUGAAAUCUCGGGACGGCGGCUCGGUCGCUUGCGUCCGACUGCUGAAACUUGAUUAAACCAUAUCAUUUAGAGGAAGGUGAAGUCGUAACA